UUCUGGGUCCCUUUAGGGGAAGGAAAAGUCGUAACCUAAGGUUUUCUCGAUUGGUGGAACCAGGGGAGGGGACAUUACCGAGUUUACAACUCCCAAACCCCUGUGAACAUACCACUUGUUGCCUCGGCGGAUCAGCCCGCUCCCGGUAAAACGGGACGGCCCGCCAGAGGACCCCUAAAACUCUGUUUCUAUAUGUAACUUCUGAGUAAAACCAUAAAUAAAUCAAAACUUUCAACAACGGAUCUCUUGGUUCUGGCAUCGAUGAAGAACGCAGCAAAAUGCGAUAAGUAAUGUGAAUUGCAGAAUUCAGUGAAUCAUCGAAUCUUUGAACGCACAUUGCGCCCGCCAGUAUUCUGGCGGGCAUGCCUGUUCGAGCGUCAUUUCAACCCUCAAGCACAGCUUGGUGUUGGGACUCGCGUUAAUUCGCGUUCCUCAAAUUGAUUGGCGGUCACGUCGAGCUUCCAUAGCGUAGUAGUAAAACCCUCGUUACUGGUAAUCGUCGCGGCCACGCCGUUAAACCCCAACUUCUGAAUGUUGACCUCGGAUCAGGUAGGAAUACCCGCUGAACUUAAGCAUAUCAAAAAGCGGAGGA
rnacentral:rRNA from 1 species